GUGAGCGGCUUCGGCGAGAAUAACCGCCUUUCCCGUCCGAGCCAACGUCCGGCCAGCCCUUCCUGUCAGUCCAGGGGCCUGGCUUGACUGGGGGUGGGAGAUGAGGGGCCGAAAAUGCACCCCAGGCGCUCUCUUGCCUAAAAGAUGAUCGAGAAGCACGUUUGAUCGGAGCUUGUAUGAUCUUCGUGACGGCUGCUAUAUGGCAAGCACUAAACCACUAUGCUUACCGAGAUGCGGUUUUCCUCGCAGAACGCCUUUAUGCAGAAGUACACUCAGAAGAAGCCUUGUUUUUACUGGCAACCUGUUAUUACCGCUCAGGAAAGGCAUAUAAAGCAUAUAGACUCUUGAAAGGACACAGUUGUACUACACCGCAAUGCAAAUACCUGCUUGCAAAAUGUUGUGUUGAUCUCAGCAAGCUUGCAGAAGGGGAACAAAUCUUAUCUGGUGGAGUGUUUAAUAAGCAGAAAAGCCAUGAUGAUAUUGUUACUGAGUUUGGUGAUUCAGCUUGCUUUACUCUUUCAUUGUUGGGACAUGUAUAUUGCAAGACAGAUCGGCUUGCCAAAGGAUCAGAAUGUUACCAAAAGAGCCUUAGUUUAAAUCCUUUCCUCUGGUCUCCCUUUGAAUCAUUAUGUGAAAUAGGUGAAAAGCCAGAUCCUGACCAAACAUUUAAAUUCACAUCUUUACAGAACUUUAGCAACUGUCUGCCCAACUCUUGCACAACACAAGUACCUAAUCAUAGUUUAUCUCACAGACAGCCUGAGACAGUUCUUACGGAAACACCCCAGGACACAAUUGAAUUAAACAGAUUGAAUUUAGAAUCUUCCAAUUCAAAGUACUCCUUGAAUACAGAUUCCUCAGU
rnacentral:sRNA from 1 species